ensembl:lncRNA FAM86JP family with sequence similarity 86 member J, pseudogene
GCCCACGUCAUGGCGCCCGAGGAGAACGCUGGGACCUAACUCUUGCUGCAGAGUUUGCAGCGCCGCUUUCUGGCGGCGCGCGCGCUGCGCUCCUUCCCCUGGCAGGUGGGCGGCGGGGCGAGCGGAGAGGCCCGCAGGGCUCGCGGGAGUCCAGGGGCAGACGGGAUGGGUCUCCGUGCAGAAGCCCCCGACACGCCCGCCACAGCUUAGAAGCAAAAUUAACAGACUCAUCAGAUUCUGAGCUUCUGCGGGAUAUUUUGCAGAAGACUGUGAAGCAUCCUGUGUGUGUGACGCACCCGCCGUCAGUCAAGUAUGCCCGGUGCUUUCUCUCAGAACUCAUCAAAAAGGCCAGGCCAGGAUCAGAUGGGAAGUGGAACCUCGUCAUGACCAGAAACUGUUUCCCUAUGAAGAGCACUUGGAGAUGGCAAUGCUGAACCUCACACUGUAGGACUCACACACGACUCCAAUGGGAUUGUGAGAAUCAAGUCACUCUCAAGGGAAGAGGUUUCAUAUGGGAAAGCUGAUAAAACUUUCACUGGACUGGAAUGUUUGGAGAAUGUUAAUUUCCAAAUCAGGAACUACAAACUGCCCUCUAAUAAGACAUCGGCUAUCUAAGCGUGUGGGUGCUCCCUUUCUGCCAGCAGUUCUGGUUCUUAAGGAAAUCGCCAUCACUCAGACAUGAAAACUCUGGCUCCAAAAAUAGCAUUUUCUUUGUGCAAAUAAAAACGUGUGUAUCAA